GGAAAGUCCGACGGUACAGGGUGAUAGUCCCGUACACGAAAAUGCACAUGCUGUGAACUCGAAGAGUAGGGCGGGACACGUGGUAUCCUGUCUGAAUAUGGGGGGACCAUCCUCCAAGGCUAAAUACUCCUGACUGACCGAUAGUGAACCAGUACCGUGAGGGAAAGGCGAAAAGAACCCCGGCGAGGGGAGUGAAAAAGAACCUGAAACCGUGUACGUACAAGCAGUGGGAGCCUCUUUAUGGGGUGACUGCGUACCUUUUGUAUAAUGGGUCAGCGACUUAUAUUCUGUAGCAAGGUUAACCGUAUAGGGGAGCCGAAGGGAAACCGAGUCUUAACUGGGCGUUAAGUUGCAGGGUAUAGACCCGAAACCCGGUGAUCUAGCCAUGGGCAGGUUGAAGGUUGGGUAACACUAACUGGAGGACCGAACCGACUAAUGUUGAAAAAUUAGCGGAUGACCUGUGGCUGGGGGUGAAAGGCCAAUCAAACCGGGAGAUAGCUGGUUCUCCCCGAAAGCUAUUUAGGUAGCGCCUCGUGAACUCAUCUUCGGGGGUAGAGCACUGUUUCGGCUAGGGGGCCAUCCCGGCUUACCAACCCGAUGCAAACUACGAAUACCGAAGAAUGUUAUCACGGGAGACACACGGCGGGUGCUAACGUCCGUCG
rnacentral:rRNA from 1 species